AUUGAACGCUGGCGGCAGGCCUAACACAUGCAAGUCGAGCGAGCGGCGGACGGGUGAGUAAUGUCUGGGAAACUGCCUGAUGGAGGGGGAUAACUACUGGAAACGGUAGCUAAUACCGCAUACCAUCAGCUGUGCCCAGAUGGGGUUAGCUAGUAGGUGGGGUAACGGCCCACCUAGGCGACGAUCCCUAGCUGGUCUGCGAGGAUGACCAGCCACCAGGGAACUGAUACAAGGUCCAGACCCCUCCGGGAGGCCGCCGUGGGGAAUAUUGGCCAAUGGGCGGAAGCCUGAUGCAGCCAAGCCGCGUGUGGGAAGAAGGCCUUCGGGUUGUAAAGCACUUUUAGGCGGGAGGCGGUAUCCGCCGAAGAAGCAACGGCUAACUCCGUGCCAGCAGCCGCGGUAAUAC
rnacentral:rRNA from 1 species